UACGUAGGUGACAAGCGUUGUCCGGAUUUACUGGGCGUAAAGCGCGCGCAGGCGGUCGUUCAAGUCGAGUGUGAAAGCCCCCGGCUCAACUGGGGAGGGUCACUCGAUACUGAUCGACUUGAAGGCAGAAGAGGGAAGCGGAAUUCCCGGUGUAGUGGUGAAAUGCGUAGAUAUCGGGAGGAACACCAGUGGCGAAGGCGGCUUUCUGGUCUGUUCUUGACGCUGAGGCGCGAAAGCUAGGGUAGCAAACGGG
rnacentral:rRNA from 1 species